UACGUAGGUGGCAAGCGUUGUCCGGAUUUACUGGGCGUAAAGAGCGCGCAGGCGGUCGACCAAGUCGCGUGUGAAAGCCCCCGGCUCAACUGGGGAGGGUCACGCGAUACUGAUCGACUCGAAGGCAGGAGAGGGUAGUGGAAUUCCCGGUGUAGUGGUGAAAUGCGUAGAUAUCGGGAGGAACACCAGUGGCGAAGGCGGCUUCCUGGCCUGUUCUUGACGCUGAGGCGCGAAAGCUAGGGGAGCAAACGGG
rnacentral:rRNA from 1 species